UAGACAGAACCUGGUUCAAAUAAACUGAUGACAAAAGGAGGGUCGCUUGGACUUUUGUACUCAUCAUGUGACUCAGGAGCAUCACGUUGAGGCUACGCACCCUGGCUUUAGUCUUCCCUGGAUGGCUGCUAGGAGGAAUUGGCCCUCAAGAGAGUUUGGUUCCUACCUCGGUACUGCAGUCAGCAGCUGGGAAUCCUUGAUGAAACCAUUGACUUGGCCAAAGCCGAGUUUUCUCAUCUGUAAAAUGAGACAGACACAACAAGUUUUUCAUGUCUUUUUAUGCUUCCCCAGCAAACUGCCCACAUUGCCUGGCAGCGAUGGUCUAAUCAAGUUAGAACCAGUGACAUUUCCUCUGACGAAAUUAAUGACGGCUUGUUAGACUGAACCUGCACAUCUUCUGAAGUUUGAAGCACAAUUCUAGAAAGGAUAAUAGUUUCUAAUAUGUCAGCUCCAUCCUGCUGAGUGUUCCAUCAACACCCUUAACCCAGUUAUCUGCAAGGGCUUUGACCCCAGACGGGGAGUCUCAGAUGGAAGCCAGGACAUUGCUUCAGGACCGGCCAUGAAAAAUGCAUGUAAGAUAGAAAAAUGUGAAUUAUGUGUGAAACAAACAAAAGCACCAGGCAACAUGGAAUUUGUGUCAACAAAAGCUUGCUGCAAGCUGUUGCUUGCUUCUAAGGGGGAAGUAGACUCUGGCGCCCAGGGAACAGUAGCAGGGAAGGACUUUUGCACAAGACGUGCAGAAACAAAAGGGGUGAACUGUUCUGGCUGUAACUGCUUUCAAGUUCUUAAGCUCUCCUCUCUCUUGCAUUUGUUAUGCAGCUGGGGAAGUUACUGAUUACUGAGUCCGCUGGAGCCAUGAGAAUGGGAAUAACUGACAUUUAUAACAUUUUGACAUACUCAAGAGAAGAGAAAAAUAGUCCAAAGGGUGGGACCUCCAGUUGACUUUCUUGUUGACUAUAAAACAACUCCAUGACUGGAUUACUUGAGUGAAUAAGGGGAUGGCAAGGUUCUCAGGGAGAUUCAUGCACUGGAAUGUCUAGCUCAUGUUCCAAUUAAAAUAUUAAA